GUGUUACUGUGCGCUGGCUGAGUCUGUUUCUUUUCUUAGAAAUAGUUUCUCCUGCCCUGGAGAAAAUCCACUUGCAUGUGUAACAAGUGUCACCUGGCAGUUUGUUGCUCUCUGCCAGGUGAUUGGCUGAAGAGCUGUGAAAAGGUAGUGGGUGUGUGGGGUGAAGUCAGCGCUCUUCUGUGGAAAAAACCAGAGGCAAUUAAUUCACUCAGGUGCGAGUGGGUCUACUGUCGUGUGACCACGAAUUUUAAUAGAAGAAUUGAUCAAGCCCUAGAUCGACUGCGCGCAGGGAAACUGAUCAAUAUUGUAGGUAUAUUGAGUGUUUGUUUUAGUUUCAUGAUUUUGAAUGGUUUUAUAAAAUUGCUAUUUUAUUGGGUAAUAUUUUAAUUGAUAAUGUUGUUUGUUUUUCAGCUGUGCUGUCUCUGCUGUCCUUUUUUUGUUCUUUUGAUUGAUUUGUAAUUUUGUUUUGGUUAGUCCGUCCAGCCGUAGAGGCGGUUAUUGAUUGAGAGUAAGUUUUGUAAGGGCGGACUAACCUCUCUUUUGUUUUUUUAUUUUAAUUGUUUGUGCCACUUCCCUUUAUCUCUCAGAUCACAGGCCAUACAUAGCACUGAUGCCCAGCUACGCUGAGACCCGAAUUGUUUGCAGUGUGUGCCACGAUUGCAGUGUCACUAAGCGGGGUGUGACGGGUUGUAGUGUUAUUUCGCACAGUUUGUGUGGUAAGUCUCAUGUGCAGCUGGGAUAUCAGCAGGAUGUGUUGUAAGUCCUGUCUGGAAACGACUGGGAAUUUGUAUGUUUAACUUAUGUAAUAAAUAAAUGAUCAAUUAUUUCUUUGCCCCGUUUACUCAUCCCUUGUCCUCGGUUACACAUGGAACAGAAGAGGCUGUGGAGUGCAGGAACUACACUGCAAGCUGGUAGAUAUGCAGGUAUUCCUGGGUCCUGCAGACUAUCACCUAAAAACAAUAAACAAAAUGAUUUUCUAAACUGUAGCAAUGUAAUGUA
ensembl:lncRNA